rnacentral:rRNA from 1 species
UGCAUCCUACGGGAGGCAGCAGUGGGGAAUAUUGGGCAAUGGGCGAAAGCCUGACCCAGCAACGCCGCGUGAAGGAAGAAGGCUUUCGGGUUGUAAACUUCUUUUGACAGGGAAGAGCAGAAGACGGUACCUGUCGAAUAAGCCACGGCUAACUACGUGCCAGCAGCCGCGGUAAUACGUAGGGGGCAAGCGUUAUCCGGAUUUACUGGGUGUAAAGGGGGCGCAGACGGCGAUGCAAGCCAGGAGUGAAAGCCCGGGGCCCAACCCCGGGACUGCUCUUGGAACUGCGUGGCUAGAGUGCAGGG